rnacentral:rRNA from 1 species
CCUACGGGAGGCAGCAGUGGGGAAUAUUGCGCAAUGGGCGAAAGCCUGACGCAGCGACGCCGCGUGAGGGAUGAAGGUCUUCGGAUCGUAAACCUCUGUUAGCAGGGAAGAACGGUCACUGUGCUAAUCAGCAGUGAAUUGACGGUACCUGCAAAGGAAGCACCGGCUAACUCCGUGCCAGCAGCCGCGGUAAUACGGAGGGUGCGAGCGUUAAUCGGAAUUACUGGGCGUAAAGCGCUCGUAGGCGGUAUGUCAAGUCAAGGGUGAAAUCCCCGCGCUCAACGUGGGAACGGCCUUUGAAACUGGCAAACUGGAGUGUGUGAGAGGAUAGUGGAAUUCCAGGUGUAGGAGUGAAAUGCGUAGAUAUCUGGAGGAACAUCAGUGGCGAAGGCGACUAUCUGGCACAUAACUGACGCUGAGGAGCGAAAGCGUGGGUAGCAAACAGGAUUAGAUACCCCUGUAGUC